rnacentral:ncRNA from 1 species
CAACCUCAACUCAUAUGGGACUACCCCCUGAAUUUAAGCAUAUUAAUUAGGGGAGGAAAAGAAACUAACCAGGAUUUUCUUAGUAGCGGCGAGCGAAAAGAAAUCAGUUCAGCACUAAGUCACUUUGUCUAUAUGGCAAACGUGAGAUGCAGUGUAUGGAGCGUCAAUAUUCUAGUAUGAGAAAUUAACGAUUUAAGUCCUUCUUAAAUGAGGCCAUUUACCCAUAGAGGGUGCCAGGCCCGUAUAACGUUAAUGAUUACUAGAUGAUGUUUCCAAAGAGUCGUGUUGCUUGAUAGUGCAGCACUAAGUGGGUGGUAAACUCCAUCUAAAACUAAAUAUAACCAUGAGACCGAUAGUAAACAAGUACCGUGAGGGAAAGUUGAAAAGAACUCUGAAUAGAGAGUUAAACAGUACGUGAAACUGCUUAGAGGUUAAGCCCGAUGAACCUGAAUAUCCUGUUAUGGAAAAUUCAUCAUUAAAGUUGUAAUAUUUUAACAAUAUUAUAAUAAUAGUGUGCAUUUUUUCCAUAUAAGGACAUUGUAAUCUAUUAGCAUAUAACAAUUUAUCAUAAAAUAUGACUUAUAGUUUAUUCAAUAUAUGCUUGCAUUUCACAUAGAUAAUGUCAUACGUGAUAAGUGUGAUAAUACAUAUACAGUGCGUAUUU